rnacentral:rRNA from 1 species
GGGAAUAUUGGACAAUGGGCGCAAGCCUGAUCCAGCCAUGCCGCGUGAGUGAUGAAGGCCUUAGGGUUGUAAAGCUCUUUUACCAGGGAAGAUAAUGACGGUACCUGGAGAAUAAGCCCCGGCUAACUUCGUGCCAGCAGCCGCGGUAAUACGAAGGGGGCUAGCGUUGCUCGGAAUCACUGGGCGUAAAGCGCACGUAGGUGGGUCGUUAAGUCGGGGGUGAAAUCCUGGAGCUCAACUCCAGAACUGCCUUCGAUACUGGCGAUCUUGGAGUCCGGGAGAGGUGAGUGGAACUGCGAGUGUAGAGGUGAAAUUCGUAGAUAUUCGCAAGAACACCAGUGGCGAAGGCGGCUCACUGGCCCGGUACUGACACUGAGGUGCGAAAGCGUGGGGAGCAAACA